rnacentral:tmRNA from 1 species
AACUUAAAUGCGAACGAUAACAACGUAGCAUUCGCGGUCGCUGCCUAAACAGCAGCUAAGCGCGGUCCGGGGGGUACCGGGCAACAGAAACCCCCCACU